CCCUAUUACACUUAACAGAAAUUAAUUAAUACUGGAAUAUUAAUAGAUAUAUUCUUUAAAUUCAGAGAAUUUGGCGGUAUUUUAGUCUAGUUAGAGGAACCUGUUUUAUAAGCGAUACUACACGUAAUAUCUCACUUAUUUUUAUUUAGUUUGUAUACCGUCAUUAUUAGAUAACUUUGAUAGAUGGGAGUUAUUAGGAUUAAAAUAUUAAAUAUAUUAGAUCAAGGUGCAGCUGAUGGAUAAGGAGGAAUGGGUUACAAUAAAAUUUAUUUAUUACGAAUCAAUUUUCGAAGGAGGGUUGUUAAAGGCGGAUUUAAUUGUAAUUAUUGUUUAAUAAGCUAUAAUGAUACAAGAACUAAAUUAUGUACAUAUCGCCCGUCGCUAU
rnacentral:rRNA from 1 species